GGUAACGGCUCACCAAGGCUACGAUGUCUAGGGGUUCUGAGAGGAAGGUCCCCCACACUGGUACUGAGACACGGACCAGACUCCUACGGGAGGCAGCAGUGAGGAAUAUUGGUCAAUGGGCGCAAGCCUGAACCAGCCAUGUCGCGUGCAGGAAGACUGCCCUAUGGGUUGUAAACUGCUUUUAUAGUAGAAGAAACACAUCUACGAGUAGAUGUCUGCCAGUAUACUAUGAAUAAGCAUCGGCUAACUCCGUGCCAGCAGCCGCGGUAAUACGGAGGAUGCAAGCGUUAUCCGGAUUUAUUGGGUUUAAAGGGUGCGUAGGCGGGACUGUAAGUCAGGGGUGAAAUACUGCAGCUUAACUGUAGCAUUGCCUUUGAAACUGCCGUUCUUGAGUACAGUUGAGGUAGGCGGAAUGUGGUGUGUAGCGGUGAAAUGCAUAGAUAUACCACAGAACGCCGAUUGCGAAGGCAGCUUACUAAGCUGUUACUGACGCUGAGGCACGAAAGCGUGGGGAUCAAACAGGAUUAGAUACCCUGGUAGUCCACGCUGUAAACGAUGAUUACUGGUUGUUAGCGAUAUAUAGCUAGUGACUGAGCGAAAGCAUUA
rnacentral:rRNA from 1 species